rnacentral:rRNA from 1 species
AGAAUAACAAUACGGGGCUUAAUGUCUUGUAAUUGGAAUGAUGGGAAUUUAAACCUCUUCCAGAGUAUCAAUUGGAGGGCAAGUCUGGUGCCAGCAGCCGCGGUAAUUCCAGCUCCAAUAGCGUAUAUUAAAAUUGUUGCAGUUAAAAAGCUCGUAGUUGAAUUUCUGCUGCAUUUCAUUUCUCUUUCUGAGUUUGUUUUUGCGGCUUAUUUCGGUUUGAUUUUUUCUUUCCGGAUGAUUACUUUGAGAAAAUUAGAGUGCUCAAAGCAGGCUUUUGCCUUGAAUAGUUUAGCAUGGAAUAAUAAAGUAGGACUUUGGUUCUAUUUUGUUGGUUUUAGGUACCAAAGUAAUGGUUAAUAGGAACAGUUGGGGGCAUUCGUAUUUAACUGUCAGAGGGRAAAAUUCUUAG